rnacentral:tRNA from 1 species
GGAGAGUUGUCCGAGUGGUUGAAGGAGCAUGAUUGGAAAUCAUGUAUACGGGUAUUGACCUGUAUCAAGGGUUCGAACCCCUUACUCUCCGUCA